UUAAAUUCAUUGAUAAUUGUGUCUGAGUUUCUCUGUCUGUAGAAUCAGCUGCUUCAGACACAGACAGAUGUGCAGCAGAUGAUCAAGAACAGAAUGAAGAAGAUUGAAGAGAUCCAGCACCCAAGUAGAGCUGAGAAAAAGGAACACAGAGGAAGAGAAAUCGGCCAGUGUUGAGCUCUUCACUGAUCUGAUCCGCUCCAUUGAGAGAUGUCAGUCUGAGCUGCUGAAGAUGAUGGAGGAACAGCAGAAAGCAGCAGAGAAACAGGCUGAAGAUCUCAUUAAAGAGCUGCAGCAGGAAAUCACUGAUCUGAAGAGGAGAAACACUGAGCUGGAGCAGCUCUCACACACUGACGAUCAUCUGCACCUCCUGCAGAAGUUCUCAUCCCUGUGCAGUCGUCCACACACCAAGAACUGGACUGAGAUCAGGAUCGACUCUGACGUGGAUGUGCUUCCUAUGAAAAGAGCUUUGAUUCAGCUGAAGAAAACUCUAAAUGGGAGUCUAAAUGAAAAACU